rnacentral:misc_RNA from 1 species
AGAAGGUUGAUUUUUAAGGGAAGCAGGUGAAAACUAGGACAAGGAGGCAUCUUUAAGCUGAGCAGAAGAUCUCAGAAUUAUGUUAUUUAUAGUAAACCUUAUCAAUCAUUACAUUUACAUCUUCUGAAAUCCAAAACUGUGAUGACCAACACAGCAUGUUGCAUGUAUGGUUGUAUUUUUGUUUUUUAAUUUAAUUAUUUUUAUUUAUAUUUAAUCCAUAUUCCAAAACUUUUAUCAUGCCCAUCCCUUUCAAGCUCCUCCCUUUCGCCUUCCCUUUCUCUUUCUUUUGUCU